rnacentral:rRNA from 1 species
UACGUAGGGUGCAAGCGUUGUCCGGAAUUAUUGGGCGUAAAGAGCUUGUAGGCGGUUUGUCGCGUCUGCUGUGAAAUUUCGGGGCUCAACCCCGAACUUGCAGUGGGUACGGGCAGACUAGAGUGUGGUAGGGGAGACUGGAAUUCCUGGUGUAGCGGUGAAAUGCGCAGAUAUCAGGAGGAACACCGAUGGCGAAGGCGGAUCUCUGGGCCUUGCCUGACGCUGAGGCGCGAAAGCUAGGGGGAGCGAACAGG